AUUGAACGCUGGCGGCAGGCCUAACACAUGCAAGUCGAGCGAGCGGCGGACGGGUGAGUAAUGUAUGGGGAUCUGCCCGAUAGAGGGGGAUAACUACUGGAAACGGUGGCUAAUACCGCAUACUAUCGGAUGACCCCAUAUGGGAUUAGCUAGUUGGUGGGGUAAAGGCUCACCUAGGCGACGAUCUCUAGCUGGUUUGAGAGGAUGAUCAGCCACACUGGGACUGAGACACGGCCCAGACUCCUACGGGAGGCAGCAGUGGGGAAUAUUGGACAAUGGGCGAAAGCCUGAUCCAGCCAUGCCGCGUGUAUGAUGAAGGCCUUAGGGUUGUAAAGUACUUUCAGCGGGGAGGCGGUACCUGCAGAAGAAGCACCGGCUAACUACGUGCCAGCAGCCGCGGUAAUUC
rnacentral:rRNA from 1 species